rnacentral:rRNA from 1 species
AUUGAACGCUGGCGGCGUGCUUAACACAUGCAAGUCGUGCGGUAACAGGCGUAGCAAUACGUGCUGACGAGCGGCGAACGGGUGCGUAAUAACAUGGGAAUCUGCCUUUUAGCGGGGAAUAACCCGGCGAAAGCCGGGCUAAUGCCGCAUAAGAUCUUCGGAUGAAAGCGGGGGAUCGUAAGACCUCGCGCUGAUAGAUGAGCCCAUGCCGGAUUAGCUAGUUGGGAGGUAACGGCUCACCAAGGCGACGAUCCGUAGCUGGUCUGAGAGGACGGCCAGCCACACUGGGACUGAGACACGGCCCAGACUCCUACGGGAGGCAGCAGUGGGGAAUAUUGGACAAUGGGGGAAACCCUGAUCCAGCGACGCCGCGUGUGUGAAGAAGGCCUGCGGGUUGUAAAGCACUUUCGGU